UCGAACGGGGUUUAUAUGACGGAACUCUCCGGAGGGAAGAUAUAUAAACCUAGUGGCGGACGGGUGAGUAACGCGUGGGCAACCUGCCCUGUACCGGGGGACAACAGCCAGAAAUGGCUGCUAAUACCGCAUAAGCCUGCUGUGCCGCAUGGCACAGCAGGGAAAACCACGGUGGUACAGGAUGGGCCCGCGUCUGAUUAGUUAGUUGGCAGGGUAACGGCCUACCAAGACAACGAUCAGUAGCCGGCUUGAGAGAGUGGACGGCCACAUUGGGACUGAGACACGGCCCAGACUCCUGCGGGAGGCAGCAGUGGGGAAUAUUGCACAAUGGGGGGAACCCUGAUGCAGCAAUGCCGCGUGGGUGAAGAAGCACUCCGGUGCGUAAAGCCCUGUCAGCAGGGAAGAAAAUGACAGUACCUGGACAAGAAGCCCCGGCUAACUACGUGCCAGCAGCCGCGGUAAUACGUAGGGGGCAAGCGUUAUCCGGAUUUACUGGGUGUAAAGGGAGCGCAGGCGGCGUGGCAAGUCAGAUGUGAAAACCCGGGGCUCAACCCCGGGAGUGCAUUUGAAACUGCCAUGCUGGAGUGCCGGAGAGGUAAGCGGAAUUCCUAGUGUAGCGGUGAAAUGCGUAGAUAUUAGGAGGAACACCAGUGGCGGAGGCGGCUUACUGGACGGUAACUGACGCUGAGGCUCGAAAGCGUGGGGA
rnacentral:rRNA from 1 species